rnacentral:rRNA from 1 species
GUGAGGAAUAUUGGUCAAUGGACGGAAGUCUGAACCAGCCAAGUAGCGUGCAGGAUGACGGCCCUAUGGGUUGUAAACUGCUUUUAUGCGGGGGUAAAGUGAGUGACGUGUCAUUCAUUGCAAGUACCGCAAGAAUAAGGACCGGCUAAUUCCGUGCCAGCAGCCGCGGUAAUACGGAAGGUCCUGGUGUUAUCCGGAUUUAUUGGGUUUAAAGGGAGCGUAGGCCGUCAGGCAAGCGUGUUGUGAAAUGUCGUGGCUCAAACAUGGACUUGCAGCGCGAACUGCCCGACUUGAGUGCGCGGAAAGCAGGCGGAAUUUGUGGUGUAGCGGUGAAAUGCUUAGAUAUCACGAAGAACCCCGAUUGCGAAGGCAGCCUGCUGUAGCGCUACUGACGCUGAAGCUCGAAAGUGCGGGUAUCGAACAGGAUUAGAAACCCUUGUAGUCC